CGCCUCCUGCCCCCUCACAGGAGGUCAUGCCUGCACAAUGACCUGCGGGUUAAAUUGCCGCGGUACCCUGACCGUGCUAAGGUAGCGUAAUAACUAGCCUGUUAAUUGCUGGCCCGUAUGAAUGGCUCGACGCUGGUGGCGCUGUCUCUGCUGCACUUCGUUGAAUUUGACCUCUUGGUGAAAAGGCCAGGAUACUACUAAAAGACGACAAGACCCUGUCGAACUUCAGGCUAACCCGUGAGGAAAAACCGCUCAAAUCACGGGAGAACCUUUGGUUGGGAGAACCGGGGACCAAACAAAACGUCCACCCCCACAACAGACUAAGCCCAAGGGAUAGUAAAAAAAUAAUCUUUCCUGAAAGCCUAACAAGGCACAAGCAACUAGACAACCUUGAUCCAGGCCCUAUUACUCCUGAACAUGGGAAAAGUUACCGCAGGGAUAACAGCGUAAUCCCCCCGGCGAGACCACAUUAAGGGGGGGGUUUGCGACCUCGAUGUUGGCUUAAGGCACCCCAGGGGUGCAGCAGCUCCUAACGGUUGGUCUGUUCGACCACAAACGCCUUACAU
rnacentral:rRNA from 1 species